CAAGCCCUGGAAACGGGGUCUAAUACCGGAUAUGACAUACGGCCGCAUGGUCUGUAUGUGGAAAGCUCCGGCGGUGCAGGAUGAGCCCGCGGCCUAUCAGCUUGUUGGUGGGGUGAUGGCCUACCAAGGCGACGACGGGUAGCCGGCCUGAGAGGGCGACCGGCCACACUGGGACUGAGACACGGCCCAGACUCCCACGGGAGGCAGCAGUGGGGAAUAUUGCACAAUGGGCGAAAGCCUGAUGCAGCGACGCCGCGUGAGGGAUGACGGCCUUCGGGUUGUAAACCUCUUUCAGCAGGGAAGAAGCGCAAGUGACGGUACCUGCAGAAGAAGCACCGGCUAACUACGUGCCAGCAGCCGCGGUAAUACGUAGGGUGCGAGCGUUGUCCGGAAUUAUUGGGCGUAAAGAGCUCGUAGGCGGCUUGUCACGUCGGAUGUGAAAGCCCGGGGCUUAACCCCGGGUCUGCAGUCGAUACGGGCAGGCUAGAGUUCGGUAGGGGAGAUCGGAAUUCCUGGUG
rnacentral:rRNA from 1 species